ACGAACGCUGGCGGCGUGCUUAACACAUGCAAGUCGAACGGAAAGGCCCUGCUUUUGUGGGGUGCUCGAGUGGCGAACGGGUGAGUAACACGUGAGUAACCUGCCCUUGACUUUGGGAUAACUUCAGGAAACUGGGGCUAAUACCGGAUAGGAGCUCCUGCUGCAUGGUGGGGGUUGGAAAGUUUCGGCGGUUGGGGAUGGACUCGCGGCUUAUCAGCUCGUUGGUGGGGUAGUGGCUUACCAAGGCUUUGACGGGUAGCCGGCCUGAGAGGGUGACCGGCCACAUUGGGACUGAGAUACGGCCCAGACUCCUACGGGGGGCAGCAGUGGGGAAUAUUGCACAAUGGGCGGAAGCCUGAUGCAGCAACGCCGCGUGCGGGAUGACGGCCUUCGGGUUGUAAACCGCUUUCGCCUGUGACGAAGCGUGAGUGACGGUAAUGGGUAAAGAAGCACCGGCUAACUACGUG
rnacentral:rRNA from 1 species